GAACGCGCUAGGUACCUGGACGGCGGGGGCGGACGAGGAGGGGUUGGGGGACGCCGACCGCUCGGGGGUCACGUAACUAGUUAGCAUGCCAGAGUCUCGUUGGUUAUUGGAAUUAACCAGACAAAUCACUCCACCAACUAAGCCGCAGGCUCCACUCCUGGUGGUGCCCUUCCACCAAUUCCUUUAAGUUUCAGCUUUGCAACCGUACUCCCCCCGGAAC
rnacentral:lncRNA from 1 species